UACGUAGGGUGCAAGCGUUAAUCGGAAUUACUGGGCGUAAAGCGUGCGCAGGCGGUUCGCUAAGACAGAUGUGAAAUCCCCGGGCUUAACCUGGGAACUGCAUUUGUGACUGGCGGGCUAGAGUAUGGCAGAGGGGGGUAGAAUUCCACGUGUAGCAGAGAAAUGCGUAGAGAUGUGGAGGAAUACCGAUGGCGAAGGCAGCCCCCUGGGCCAAUACUGACGCUCAUGCACGAAAGCGUGGGGAGCAAACAGG
rnacentral:rRNA from 1 species